AUGCUGCAGCGCCACCGUCCUCGACCUCCCCGUGUUCCUGGCCUCCUCGCGUCACCUGGUUGCCUCUCUCUGCAGCGAACAACUGCAGCUCAGCGCCUCGGCACCCCUGCACCCCAAGUCCGUCGCUACCUCGCUGGAGAACGUCGUCCUUGCCAGAAUCCUCUUCAUCAGUCGAUGCCUCCGCUUCGCCUGACCCGGGCCCCUGAUUCAUCUCGAACAGCGGCAGUAGCUCGCCAGCUUGUCCCCGUGGGCUCGAAUUCAGUCAAACGCCAUGGUCAAGACCACCUCCGUGAGGAAUGCAAGAUGCAUCCUCCGUGCACCCCUGCUUGUGGCUAUUAA
rnacentral:rRNA from 1 species